rnacentral:rRNA from 1 species
GACAGAGGCCUCAAGCGUUAGGCGGAAUCACUGGGCUUAAAGCGUGUGUAGGCGGACGCUAAGUACCUUGUGAAAUCCCACGGCUCACCCGUGGAACGGCUGGGUAUACGUGGGCGUCUUGGGCCAACUAGGGGCAACUGGAACAAGCGGUGGAGCGGUGAAAUGCGUAGAUAUCGCUUGGAACGCCAACGGUGAAAACAGGUUGCUGGGGUUGUGCCGACG